UCUGGUUGAUUCUGCCAGUGACAUAUGCUUCUCUCAAAGAUUAAGCCAUGCAUGUGUAAGUGCAAGCCAAAUUAAGGUGAAACCGCGGAAGGCUCAUUAUAUCAGUUAUGGUUCAAUGGAUUGUACCCAGUUACUUGGAUAACUGCGGAAAUACUGGAGCUAAUACAUGCCAACAGAGUUCUGACCGGAGACGGGAGGAACGCUUUUAUUAGAUCAAAACCAAUCGGUCGCUUCGGCUUCCGUAUAUUUUGGUGACUCUGAAUAACUUUGGGCUGAUCGCACGGCCUUGUGCCGGCGACGCAUCUUUCAAAUGUCUGCCUUAUCAACUUUCGAUGGUAGGUUCUGCGCCUACCAUGGUUGUUACGGGUAACGGGGAAUCAGGGUUCGAUUCCGGAGAGGGAGCCUGAGACACGGCUACCACAUCCAAGGAAGGCAGCAGGCGCGCAAAUUACCCACUCCCGGCACGGGGAGGUAGUGACGAAAGAUAACGAUACGGGACUCAUCCGAGGCCCCGUAAUCGGAAUGGCAACACUUUAAAUCCUUUAUGGAGGACCAAACUGAGGGCAAGUCUGGUGCCAGCAGCCGCGGUAAUUCCAGCUCAGUUAGCGUAUUUCAAAGUUGUUGCGGUUAAAAAGCUCGUAGUUGGAUCUGUGUCUCGCACCGCCGGUUCACCGCCCGUCGGUGUUUAAACUGGCGCGCUGCGAGAUGUCCUGCCGGUGGUGCGUCUAGCUAUCCCCUUCGGGGGCAUGGGCGGCGCCGAGCAAAUCCCUUCGCGGUGCUCUUUAUCGAGUGUCGAGGUGGGCCGGCACGUUUACUUUGAACAAAUUAGAGUGCUCAAAGCAGGCUGAUGACGCCUGAAUAUAUCUGCAUGGAAUAAUGGAAUAGGACUUCGGUUCUAUUUUGUUUGGUUUUCGGAACCAGAAGUAAUGAUAAAUGGAGACAGGCGGGGGCAUUCGUAUUGCGACGUUAGAGGUGAAAUUCUUGGAUCGUCGCAAGACGGACUGAAGCGAAAGCAUUUGCCAAGGAUGUUCUCGUUGAUCAAGAACGAAAGUUAGAGGUUCGAAGGCGAUCAGAUACCGCCCUAGUUCUAACCAUAAACAAUGUUGACUGGCCUUGUGCGGGAUGUCCUCUGAUGCAUCCGCACGCAGCCUACGAGAAAUCAAAGUUUUUGAAUUCCGGGGGAAGUAUGGUUGCAAAGCUGAAACUUAAAGAAAUUGACGGAAGGGCACCACCAGGAGUGGAGCCUGCGGCUUAAUUUGACUCAACACGGGAAACCUCACCAGGCCCAGACACUGGAAGGAUUGACAGAUUGAAAGCUCUUUCUUGAUUCAGUGGGUGGUGGUGCAUGGCCGUUCUUAGUUGGUGGAGCGAUUUGUCUGCUUAAUUGCGAUAACGAACGAGACUCUAGCCUACUAAAUAGUCGUUCCCGGCUUCCUUGUGCAGCCGGCGAAGACAAAUCUUCUUAGAGGGACAAGCGGCUUCUAGCCGCACGAGAUUGAGCAAUAACAGGUCUGUGAUGCCCUUAGAUGUUCUGGGCCGCACGCGCGCUACAAUGGAGGUAUCAGCGUGUCCUCCCUGGCCGAGAGGUCCGGGUAACCCGCUGAAACACCUUCGUGCUUGGGAUUGUGGCUUGAAAUUGUCCCACAUGAACGAGGAAUUCCCAGUAAAGGCGUGUCAUUAGCACGCCUUGAUUACGUCCCUGCCCUUUGUACACACCGCCCGUCGCUACUACCGAUUGAAUGUUUUAGUGAGGUCUUCGGACCGGCGCGCGGAGCUCCUUCGGGAGCGCCGAUGCCGCUGGGAAGAUGACCAAACUUGAAUAUUUAGAGGAAGUAAAAGUCGUAACAAGGUUGCUGUAGGUGAACCUGCAGCAG
rnacentral:rRNA from 1 species